GGUCGGGAUAGCUCAGCUG
rnacentral:tRNA from 1 species